rnacentral:rRNA from 1 species
GACGAACGCUGGCGGCGUGCUUAACACAUGCAAGUCGAACGAUGAACCCGGAGCUUGCUCCGGCGGAUUAGUGGCGAACGGGUGAGUAACACGUGAGUAACCUGCCCUUGACUCUGGGAUAACUGCUAGAAAUGGUAGCUAAUACCGGAUACGACCCUCGGUGGCAUCACCAGGGGGUGGAAAGAAUUUCGGUCAAGGAUGGACUCGCGGCCUAUCAGCUAGUUGGUGAGGUAACGGCUCACCAAGGCGACGACGGGUAGCCGGCCUGAGAGGGUGACCGGCCACACUGGGACUGAGACACGGCCCAGACUCCUACGGGAGGCAGCAGUGGGGAAUAUUGCACAAUGGGCGCAAGCCUGGUGCAGCAACGCCGUGUGAGGGAUGACGGCCUUCGGGUUGUAAACCUCUUUUAGUAGGGAAGAAGCGAAAGUGACGGUACCUGCAGAAAAAGCACCGGCUAACUACGUGCCAGCCGCCGCCGUAA